AUUGAACGCUGGCGGCAGGCCUAACACAUGCAAGUCGAGCGGCAGCGGGAAAGUAGCUUGCUACUUUUGCCGGCGAGCGGCGGACGGGUGAGUAAUGCCUGGGGAUCUGCCCAGUCGAGGGGGAUAACUACUGGAAACGGUAGCUAAUACCGCAUUCGCCCUACGGGGGAAAGCAGGGGACCUUCGGGCCUUGCGCGAUUGGAUGAACCCAGGUGGGAUUAGCUAGUUGGUGAGGUAAUGGCUCACCAAGGCGACAAUCCCUAGCUGGUCUGAGAGGAUGAUCAGCCACACUGGAACUGAGACACGGUCCGGACUCCUACGGGAGGCAGCAGUGGGGAAUAUUGCACAAUGGGGGAGACCCUGAUGCAGCCAUGCCGCGUGUGUGAAGAAGGCCUUCGGGUUGUAAAGCACUUUCAGCGAGGAGGAAAGGUUGGUAGCUAAUAACUGCCAGCUGUGACGUUACUCGCAGAAGAAGCACCGGCUAACUCCGUGCCAGCCGCCGCGGUAAGAC
rnacentral:rRNA from 1 species